AAUGAACGUUGGCGGCGUGGAUUAGGCAUGCAAGUCGGACGCCCCGCAAGGGGAGUGGCGCAAGGGUGAGUAAGGCGACGGUAACCAACCCCGCGGUUGGGCAUAGCCGAGGGAAACCUCGGGUAAUUCCCAGCGACGUAGCGAGCCGGCAUCGGCGUGCUACCAAAGAUUUAUCGCCGUGGGACGGGCCGUCGUGGUAUUAGCUAGUUGGUGGGGUGACGGCCCACCAAGGCCGCGAUGCCUACCGGGUGUGCGAGCAUGGCCCGGCACACUGGGACUGAGACACUGCCCAGACUCCUACGGGAGGCUGCAGUCGAGAAUCUUCGGCAAUGGGCGCAAGCCUGACCGAGCGACGCCGCGUGGAGGACGAAGGCCUUCGGGUUGUAAACUCCUGUCGAGGGGGAGGAAGGCGCAAGCUUGACCGAUCCCUGGAGGAAGCACGGGCUAAGUUCGUGCCAGCAGCCGCAGUAACAC
rnacentral:rRNA from 1 species